rnacentral:rRNA from 1 species
ACACAUUUUAGAGCCUAAUUCACCUUAAUUAAAAAUUAAAAUUACAUUCAAAUCCAGAUUCAGAAAUUUUAUAUAAAAAUUCAUCCUUAAAUAAAUUUAUUGUAAUCCAUCUCUCCUUCUAAAAACUGCACCUUGAUCUGAUUUUAAAUUAAAUUAAAUGUAAAAAUUAUAUAUUUCAAAAAAUAAUUUUUAACGACGAUAUACAAGCAAAAUUAAAAGUUUUUUCAAUCGUGAAUUAUCGAUUAAAGGACAGAUUCCCCUGAUAAGAAUAAAAAACCGCCAAAUUAUUUGAUUUUAAAGAACAUAUCUUAUAUUAAUCAAGUAAAAUUUCCACGUCUAGAAUAAUGGGGUAUCUAAUCCCAGUCUAAAACCUAGAUUUCUUAACAUCAUAAACAAUUAAUUAAUUAAAUAAAAAAUAGGAUUUCACCCGAUAAUUCACUAAAAUAAAAAAUAAAUUAUAUUAAUUAAAUAUAACUAAAAAAAAAUAGUAGUAUUUUUUGUGUAACCGCA